rnacentral:lncRNA from 1 species
AUGGUUUGCCACUGCCAACAUUGCUGCCGGCUUCUUCAUCUACAUUUAUGUAAUCACACCAAUCGCCUACUGGAUUAAUCUCUACAAGGCACAAAACUUCCCUAUCUUUUCAGAUGGCCUUUUCACAGUGACUGGACAGAAGUACAACAUCUCUACCAUUAUAGACUCACAGUUUCAUUUUGAUACAAAAGCCUAUGAGAAGAAUGGACCAUUAUACAUCAGCACCUUCUUUUCUAUCAGCUAUGGUCUUGGUUUUGCAUGUCUUACUGCAACAGUUGUCCACGUUCUUCUUUUCCAUGGAAGGUAUCCUCCCCUUCCUUCUCCCUCUAGGUCUAUUAUGUAAAAUUAGAUACACAGAUAAAUUUGUGACACCUGUGUCCAGUGAAAUUUGGCAGCUAAGCAGAUCAGCUUUUCAAGAUAAAAAGAUGGACAUACAUACAAAGCUUAUGAAGAGGUACAAACAGGUUCCUGAAUGGUGGUUCAUCUCCAUCCUUAUAGCCAGUGUUGCAAUCACCAUGUUCACUUGUGAGUAUUACAUAGAACAAUUGCAGUUACCCUGGUGGGGGGUACUACUUGCAUGUGCCCUUGCAAUUUUCUUCACC